UGAAAUUCCUUCUCCUGGUUCAUCCUGGCUCAAAAGCUCCCCUACUGAGCGCCUUUUGACCCCCACACCUGCUCCCCCUUUGACUGUAAUUUUCCUUUACCUACCCAAAUCUUAUAAGACGGCCCUAUCCCUGUCUCCCUUGGCUGACUCUCUUUUCGGACUCAGCCCGCCUGCACCCAGGUGAAAUAAACAGCCUUGUUGCUCACACAAAGCCUGUUUGGUGGUCUCUUCACACAAACGCGCAUGAAAUUUGGUGCCAUGACUCGGAUCGGGGUACCUCCCUUGGGAGAUCAAUCCCCAGUCCUCCUGCUCUUUGCUCCGUGAGAAAGAUCUACCUAGGACCUCAGGUCCUCAGACUGACCAGCCCAAGGAACAUCUCACCAAUUUCAAAUCUGGUAAGUGGCCUCUUUUUACUCUCUUCUCCAACCUCCCUCACUAUCCCUCAACCUCUUUCUCCUUUCUAUCUUGGCGCCACACUUCAAUCUCUCCCUUCUCUUAAUUUCAAUUCCUUUCAUUUUCUGGUAGAGACAAAGGAGACACAUUUUAUCCGUGGACCCAAAACUCCGGCGCCAGUCACGGACUCGGGGAGGCAGCCUUCCCUUGGUGUUUAAUAAUUGCGGGGGUGCCUCUCUGAUUAUUCACCCACGACCCCACUGAAAAUCGGACUGUUCAACUCAUCUGGCAGCCACUCCCAGAGCCCCUGGAACUCUGGCCCAAGCCUCUCUGACUGACUCCUUCCCAGAUCUUCUCGGCUUAGCAGCUGAAGACUGACACUGCCCAAUCGCCUUGGAAGCCCCCUAGACCAUCACGGAUGCCGAGCUUCGAGUAACUCUCACAGUGGAGGGAACGCGCAUGAAAAAACCAAACAAACAAAAAAAUUUCUUUUGGUAGCAGAAUAAAAAAACAAAAAAAAGGACUUUUUCUUCUGGACUGAACUAUAUUUAAAUCUCAAAGGAUGGACAUCUCACAACCUUCCUACAGCAAGUACUGUGAGAGCUGCAUCUUGUCCCACUGGAUGGUCUUCAGAGACAAUAAUACAUAAUGGAGCUGUCAUCUCCUAUGAUAACAAUGCCUUCUUCUGGAUACCUCCUGAAGGACCUGCCUGAGGCUCUUUCACUGUUAGUUUUUUUUUAAUAAGUAGAAGGAUUACACUCUAAAAUAAUAAGUGUAGUAUAGUAAAUGUAUAAACCAGUAACAUAAUGGUUUAUUAUCAUUAUCAAGUAUUACAUACUGUACAAAAUUAUAUGUGCUACAAUUUUAUGUGACUGGCAGCACAGUAGGUUUGUUUAUACCAGCAUCACCACAAACACGUGAGUAAUAUGACACACCAUGAUAUUCUGACAACCAUGACAUCACUAGGCCAGGGAAUUUUUUAGGUCCAUUAUCAUCAUAGGCGACCACAGUUGUAUAUGUGAUGUGGUCUGUCAUUGACUAAAAUCUCAUUAUGACUGUACUUAGUCUCUAAACCUUAUUCUAUUUCUUUCUUUUCUUAUGGCUUUUUCCUCUAUAAGAACUCAAAGGGGGAGAGAAAAAGACGAAAAAUAUCUUCAAAGAGGAGAACAAAUCUGAUCUUUCUCUACGUCUGCUUAGUUGGCGUAACUUUAGGAUGUCCAUAAGUUGUAGCUUUCCUGGGAAAAUUUGAUUUUACACUGGUUAUCCCAACAUAAUAUUAAUGGUAUCCUCUUAGACUCUCAAUAGUGUCCGGUUUGGAUGACAAAUUCUGUGGUCUUUUUAGCCAACUGCUACUGAAGUGGUCAGAUUUAUUGCACAAAAUAUAUUUUUAAAAAUAAGUAGCACAAGAUGAAAUAUGGCCUCAAAUUUCUUGGUUAGUUUCCACUAGAAAGUUUUAAACAUUAAAAAGUACAAAAUUCAUUACAUUUAUUGAAUGAUAAAGUAUAACAUUGUAUGAAGUUGAUGACUAUUAAAACUAUUUGAGUGUUUAAGUUUUGUCAGGUUCUCUUUGGUGAUGUCAGUUAAGUGUCUUUCAUUAAUUCUUAUAUGCCUCACUUUUCCUGUAAAUAACUUAUUAACCACCCACUACUUUUUUUCUGACUGAUUAAAUGGUAUAAAUGUCGAGAAAAACAACAUGAAUGACAUAAAUGCCAAGAAUCAGUUGAAAUGUAAAAAUAUAUUUAAUACAGAGGUUCUGUUUAUGACUCCUUAAAACAUACUUAAGGAAGCACACAGUUAACUAAUAACAGCAAUUAACUAGGAUUGGUAGAAAACCUUUAUUUUCUUAUUCUAUAGUCCAUUUGUGAGGAGCUUAAUAUAAGAAAGUUAGUAGGUCAAACUAAUAAUAGGGCAAAGUACUGUUCCAAGAACUUGUCUAAUGAUGUUCCAGUGCCAAAAAUGCUCUGAAAAAUUGAGAUAAUUGAAGUCUUUGAUCAGAAGGGUGUAAAAUAAUGUUGGAAAUAAUCAAGUGAAGAUGUAAAGCUAUGACUCGGUUUCCCAUGCUGAGCAUGUUAACAUUCUUCACUGUUUCUUCUUGCAUGCUGUACAUGGCCGACAUUUUUCAAAGUAAUGAGAAACACUAUUUGGUGAAGUUCUUUUCAUCUUUGCUGUCCACAUGUAUCACUCCCAUCCAAAAGUUGCAGUUGCAUUUAGCAGUUGCAAAGGAAAGGAUUUUCUCACGUAGGCAUGGAUACUUGAAGGGGCUG
rnacentral:lncRNA from 10 species